rnacentral:rRNA from 1 species
UACGUAGGGGGCAAGCGUUGUCCGGAUUUAUUGGGCGUAAAGCGCGUGUAGGCGGCUGGGUAGGUCCGCUGUGAAAACUCGAGGCUCAACCUCGAGAGGUCGGUGGAAACCAUCCAGCUAGAGUCCGGAAGAGGAAAGUGGAAUUCCACGUGUAGCGGUGAAAUGCGUAGAGAUGUGGAGGAACACCAGUGGCGAAGGCGGUUCUCUGGGCCUUACCUGACGCUGAGGAGCGAAAGCAUGGGGAGCAAACAGG